UGGGGAAUAUUGGACAAUGGGGGGAACCCUGAUCAAGCCAUGCCGCGUGUGUGAAGAAGGCCUUUUGGUUGUAAAGAACUUUAAGCGAGGAGGAGGCUACCGAGAUUAAUACUCUGGGAAAGUGGACGUUACUCGCAAAAUAAGCACCGGCUAAUUCUGUGCCAGCAGCCGCGGUAAUACAGAGGGUGCAAGCGUUAAUCGGAUUUACUGGGCGUAAAGCGCGCGUAGGUGGCCAAUUAAGUCAAAUGUGAAAUCCCCGCGCUUAACUUGGGAAUUGCAUUCGAUACUGGUUGGCUAGAGUAUGGGAGAGGAUGGUAGAAUUCCAGGUGUAGCGGUGAAAUGCGUAGAGAUCUGGAGGAAUACCGAUGGCGAAGGCAGCCAUCUGGCCUAAUACUGACACUGAGGUGCGAAAGCAUGGGGAGCAAACAGG
rnacentral:rRNA from 1 species